AGAACAAGGUCUCCGUUGGUGAACCAGCGGAGGGAUCAUUACCGAGUUUAC
rnacentral:rRNA from 1 species